CGAAUAUCAAGUGUGAUUUGCACAUUUUUUACUUCGUUCGAGUUCGUUCGAGUAUAUUUCGACGAAGAAAAGCCUGCUUUCGACAGGUUCUCGUCAUAUUUUUUAUUGGAUAAGUGACUCCGAAUCCUGCCAAAGGCUUGUUUGAUCUCAGGUACAAAAUAUGAUUGUUUAUAUCAUAUAAUUACAACGUCCAUUUGUGGUUGUUGUUGCUGCUAAAAUUUGAAUUUGGGCGCGCGAGAAUUCGUACGUUUUAUAUUGAAGUUAUUUCAUUUCAGUGCCGUCAAAUAUUAGUUAAAAUCAACAAUUCAAAUUUUGAGUAAACACAUUAUAGUAAAUACUGGGUUUUGUACUUGUUUGGCAACACCCCAAAGCAUGUUUGAAACCACAUAGACACAUAGUACAAAACUAUAUGUGAAAUUAUAUGAAUAAUAUGACUACAUCAAGCCUCAAAGUCAAAACACGAAAAUUAUUUGGGAGUAUUAAUUUAAACUUGAGGAUGUCAUAAUAUGUUCUCUAUCUGAAUCAGAAAAUUGUUAACCCAAUAUAUAGAAUUGAUUAAAUUUAAUAUUCUGUUCUCACAAGUAAAAUCGUCUGGCAUUAGACAGAGUAAAAUAAUAAAGUAGGGCGCAUCUGGGUAUAUUGCCACAUAAGGCAAUUUAAUUUAACAUUCUGUUCUUAAUCACCCCUCUUCUGGAUUUCCAAGGUCAUCAGGUCAUGGUCUUUCAGGCCAUCGAGUGGCAUCUCUCUCCCCUUGACAAGUAAAAUAGAGGGCACAUUAUGCCUUAAAGGGUUAGUGCUGCCCACAAUAUGGUAAAAAGUAUAUAUUUUCGAGCUCGCUGAAAUCCUUCUUAAACAAUACAAUUUAUACUGCUGGUUUAGUACAUAAGAGUGCCGUAAAUAUAGCCUGGUGAAGUCUGUUUACGGACCCGUAGAUAUAGCCACUUUGAAAGUAUAAACUUUCGCUAGCUUGAGCUUGAAGGAUUUUCAAUCUAAACCCUUGUAGAGUUUAUAUAUUGUAUGUGCCUGUUUACAUGUAUGUGAUAAUGGCAUGGCUGGACCGGAGAUUUUAAUCCAGUCUUGCUGAGAAGUGAGAAACUGGGCUAAGCAAAAUAUACGGGAUACAUGCACUCUUUCUGGCAGGAAUGAUAGAGUGCUUACUGUAUAUGAGAAUAUCUCGUCUUGGCAGGUGGGAUCCCAGCAACAAGUAAUGAGGUCUCACCUAGGCCAAAUAGAGGUGGAAUCAUUCAUUUUACUGUAAACACUCAAUAUAGUUCAUAUUGCAAGGGGGAUCAUAAAACUAGUAUUCUAGCUUUUUACAAGUGCUAACAUCUUGUUUUUUCGUUGCCAGCAUACCUAUUACAGCUAACUUACAGACAAGGGAAAGCUGUUUAAAAUUACUACAUGGUGAGUGUGAUUAUAGAAAUUCCUUUAUACCCUAGAAUCUUGACUUUAUAGACGAUUACCCAUUAGAGUGAGUGGAAGUCAAAGCUUUCCAUUCUGCACUCAAAAGUAUCAAUUUAAUAUGAAUACUGUGUUAAUGCCAAAUUAUUGUACUCUGUCUAACGUGAGACAAUUUUACUUGUCAAUACUCAAGUGGAGAGUGCUAGUGCCUAAUGUAUUAAUGGUAAUUUAUAAGACAAAUCAUGAAUCUAGCUUUGUAUUACAUGCACAUUGCCUUUUUAUCACAUUUCUGGUAGCCAAAGCUGAAUGAACAAAAUCCAUGGAUUACACUGUAAGUUGCAUUGCACCCUGAUGCGCCCCACAUUUUACUCUGUCUAAUGCCAGACGAUUUUUCUUGUAAAAGGGAGAAUGCCGCACUUAAUGGGUUAAAGACAUUAAUAAAAUAAGGGCGUAUUCACAUAGGGGCACAAUGCAACUAAUGAAUCACUAGAAACAUGGUCGGAUUAACCCAUUAAUCACCAGCACUCCCACUCACAAAUAAAAUUGUCUGGUAAUUGACAUUAGACAGGAAUACAGUAAAGUAGGAGUUCAAUGCAACUUCAUGGGUUAAAAUUUGAAAAUUUUCCUGUGAGACCAUGAUUUCUGGGUAGUAGUGCACCAAUAUUCAUAUUGGUAUAUCAUCGGCUUAUCGGUACCAAAUUGAAAUAUCAGUAAUUUGAUGUUAUCUUUGAAUUUUGUGUAAUGACAUGGAAUAUCGGUGUCAGUAUCUGCAAAAUAUCGGUCCUUCCAUAUCGGGUAUCUGAAUAUCAGUGAAUUUCCAUAUAGGUGCAUGACUAUUUCUGGGUUAGCAUGUACUAGCUAUAAUUUGGUCUAAGGGUUGGAGCCAUAGUGAAUAAAAUUUUUCCUAUGAAAACAAAUAUUAAAUAAUUUAUCUGUAAUCAUUCAUUAUGUAGGAUGGAGUUUACAUCGUGAUAAAGAAUCUUUGAACAUGGUAGAUGCUUUCUAAAAUGCAAGGGUGAUGUUGUCGGUACUGUAUUUGUGAUCUAAUAUACUAUUGGCUCAUUCCUGAUUCCAGAAAACAUUCAUGGUUUCACCUCAGUUGUACAUGAGAGGCGUUCUACUUGUUUAACCCAUUAUCUGACAGCACUGGCAAGUAAAACAAUAGGACAUUAUGACAUAUACAGUAAAUGUGUUGCUGUGGAUGCAAAUUUUACUCACGUUUUUUUGUAAAAUUUACACAUAAUUUUUUGUAGUGUUGGGUAUUGCCGCACCAAAAUGCCCAGCAUCUGGUGAAUAUUUUAAUGUUAAACUAG
rnacentral:lncRNA from 1 species